CAGCCGCCACGGUAAUACGUAGGUCCCGAGCGUUGUCCGGAUUUAUUGGGCGUAAAGGGAACGCAGGCGGUUUAGUAAGUCUGAAGUUAAAGGCAUUGGCUCAACCAAUGUAUGCUUUGGAAACUGUUAGACUUGAGUGCAGAAGGGGAGAGUGGAAUUCCAUGUGUAGCGGUGCAAUGCGUAGAUAUAUGGAGGAACACCGGUGGCGAAAGCGGCUCUCUGGUCUGUCACUGACGCUGAGGCUCGAAAGCGUGGGUAGCGAACAGGAUUAGAUACCCCCGUAGUCCCUGUCUCUUAUACA
rnacentral:rRNA from 1 species